UAACCUUGUUAUGCAAUUUUCUUGCUGGGCAGAGUAUAGCUGUUUGCAGUUUAUCUAGGUCAAAAUUUGAAUAUAACCGAUGGACAAGAAGUGCGCGUCUCCUUGCUGUUCAUAUUUAAUGUGCUUUCAAGCUAUACACACAAGGAUUAAGGCUGGAAUAUCAACUUCUGCUCAUUCGUCGUAAGGUUCAAUCAACCAGUGGUGCAGGGAAUUGAUUGUAUAGUCAGCCUUGAUUGCAUCAGAUUCUUCGCCCGUGAAAAUUAUACAAAGGAAUGCAACAUUUUGCUUUUGCUUUAGAGGUUGGAUUCUCCUGUUCAUUUCUUUCAUUCGUGGAACUUAACUAUAUGCGUGAUUAAAAUCAAUGGAUCCGCCAUUUUGUGGAACUUAGUAGUGUAAGGCAGACGCGUACUUUGAAGGACCUGGAUGUGAUUACUGUAACCCACUUUUCACUAGGAAUAUAAAUUUUGUCAAGCAGUGAUUUUUGAGAUUCAGUGAUUGAAUUCGAAUUUGUGUUUGUCUUAAAAAUACAGACUAAAAUAAAUUCUCUCACAAUCAUAAUACUGGAUUACAACUUUU